rnacentral:rRNA from 1 species
ACUCCUACGGGAGGCAGCAGGCGCGCAAAUUGUCCAAUCCCCAUACAUUGGGGAGACAGUGAAAAGAAAUAUCAAUGCAGGGCUUUUAGCUUUGCAAUUGGAAUGAGUUAUCCCAAAUGCCUUACAAG